rnacentral:rRNA from 1 species
GAUGAACGCUGGCGGCGUGCCUAAUACAUGCAAGUCGAACGAGUCUUCGGACUAGUGGCGAACGGGUGAGUAACACGUUGGUACCUGCCCCGAAGUGGGGAAUAACUGGCCGAAAGGUCAGCUAAUACCGCAUAAUACCGCAAGGUUAAAGUAGCAAUACGCUUCGGGAGGGGCCUGCGUCUGAUUAGCUAGUUGGUGGGGUAACUGCCCACCAAGGCGACGAUCAGUAGCUGGAUCGAGAGGUUGACCAGCCACACUGGGACUGAGAUACGGCCCAGACUCCUACGGGAGGCAGCAGUAAGGAAUCUUCCGCAAUGGACGAAAGUCUGACGGAGCGACGCCGCGUGAUUGAUGAAGCCCCUCUGGGGCGUAAAGAUCUUUUAUGAGGGAAGAAGUUUAUUGACGGUACCUCAUGAAUAAGAGGCUCCUAAUCUCGUGCCAGCCGCCGCGGUAA